AUUGAACGCUGGCGGCAGGCCUAACACAUGCAAGUCGAGCGAGCGGCGGACGGGUGAGUAGUGUAUGGGGAUCUGCCAGAUAGAGGGGGAUAACUACUGGACACGGUGGAUAAUACCGCAUACUAUCGGAUGACCCCAUAUGGGAUUAGCUAGUAGGUGGGGUAAAGGCUCACAUAGGCGACGAUCUCUCGCUGGUCUGAGAGGAUGAUCAGCCACACUGGAACUGAGACACGGCCCAGACUCCUACGGGAGGCAGCAGUGGGGAAUAUUGCACAAUGGGCGCAAGCCUGAUGCAGCCAUGCCGCGUGUAUGAAGAAGGCCUUAGGGUUGUAAAGUACUUUCAGCGGGGAGGCGUUACCCGCAGAAGAAGCACCGGCUAACUCCGUGCCAGCCGCCGCGGUAAUAC
rnacentral:rRNA from 1 species